rnacentral:rRNA from 1 species
AUUGAACGCUGGCGGCAUGCCUUACACAUGCAAGUCGAACGGCAGCGGACCUUCGGGUGCCGGCGAGCGGCGAACGGGUGAGUAAUGCAUCGGAACGUGCCAUUGAGUGGGGGGAUAACGUAGCGAAAGUUGCGCUAAUACCGCAUAUUCUGUGAGCAGGAAAGCAGGGGACCGCAAGGCCUUGCGCUCUUUGAGCGGCCGAUGUCAGAUUAGCUAGUUGGUGAGCUAACGGCUUACCAAGGCGACGAUCUGUAGCGGGUCUGAGAGGAUGAUCCGCCACACUGGAACUGAGACACGGUCCAGACUCCUACGGGAGGCAGCAGUGGGGAAUUUUGGACAAUGGGCGCAAGCCUGAUCCAGCCAUGCCGCGUGAGUGAAGAAGGCCUUCGGGUUG